UACGUAGGGACCAAGCGUUGUUCGGAUUUACUGGGCGUAAAGGGCGCGUAGGCGGCAAUUCAAGUCAGCUGUGAAAUCUCCGGACUUAACUCGGAACGGUCAGCUGAUACUGCUUUGCUAGAGUGCAGAAGGGGCAAUCGGAAUUCUUGGUGUAGCGGUGAAAUGCGUAGAUAUCAAGAGGAACACCUGAGGUGAAGACGGGUUGCUGGGCUGACACUGACGCUGAGUGCGCGAAAGCUAGGGUAGCAAACGGG
rnacentral:rRNA from 1 species